rnacentral:lncRNA from 1 species
CUGAUCCCCAGUGGUCCCUUGGGGAUCUCCCUCCAAACCCUGCAGUGGUGGAUGCUUCCUUCAUUUCACCUGGCUCUGGCUGUAGGGAGGAACAAUUCCAGAUGUCUUUGUGUGGAAGUGUGCGGUAGCCUCUGGGUGGGACUGGCCUCUUCUGGGGAGCACAUGGGAAUGGAAAGCCCUGAGUGCAGCUCAGAUGUUUGCCUGUGAGCAGCUCUCACUGCAGCAUGAGCUCUGUGCCUCAAACAAAGCAGCUCCUUGCAGUUCCCAUGGCAAGCUCUCCUUCCUAACUGGGCCUUGCACCAGCGCCGGUGCCGUGUUUGCUUCUGCUCCCUGAGCAUCCUCCUGUGUGUCCCCUUCUCCCCAGACCCUUCUGCCACCAAGAAGCCAAGUGGAGAGACUGUGAGGGCCGAAAUCUGUUGUCAGUGGGACUGCCCAGAGGAAAAACUCAGCCCCUCUGCUCUCCAGGGAUCUCUGCAGUCAGCACCAUCAAGGCUCCAUCCCUCCAGAGCUGCCGUGUUCUUCUAGGAGCUGUUGGACCUCUGGAAAACAAGAGGUGUUGCCAAGGAGCUACGUGGGACAACCAAUGUUUCCCUUGGGUCCUGCCUGCUGCUGGGGCACCCUCAUCCGAGUGGUUUUGCAGUGUGGUGCCUUCACAGAGACAAAAACAGAACAGAAAAACACGGUUUAAGAAAAUGUCAGCAUCAUAAAGAAAGAGGAAUGAAACCAGAGGUCUGCUAUAUCAUCCAAGUGAGCGUGCCAGCGCGUGAACAUGUGGCAGGGCAGUUAACAGAAAAUGAUAGUGAAAUUGGGUGAUAUUUCCAGGCUCCCGGGGGAAAGCACAUGUGCUUUACAAUGGAUAAUGAAAUGUUAUGGUUUUUAUGUCUAAUACGUUAAUUCUGCCAGGGCAGUAAUCCCGAGGUUCCAAUCCACAUUUAAGUUGGAAAGAUAUGCACAGGCUUUUAUUGAGGACAUAAACUACAGUGCAUUUAAGGCAAAAUAACAGGAAGAUGGGAGAGGCUUCCACUUCUGUUCCCUUCUCUCCCACUCUAUUCUAUCAAAUACUGACUUGUGCUAGAGGGGC